AGUGGGGGAAGGGAGGGGUCCUGGUGGGUUUGGAUCCGCUGUCCCUGCUUGGGACGAGUGACAUGGAGAGAUGCCUCAUUCCCUUGGGGGGGGAAGCACUGGGGCUCUCCUUCCACCGUUGAUCUUCCCUCCCGCGAUGGAAAGGACUUUAAAAAUAAGAAGAAAGACCUUUUUUUUUUUUUUUUUCUUUUUGCAAACGCUAUAUUCAUAUUUGGGCCUGGUCGGCUCCGCACUCGCGCCUUUCAGGGCGAUUAUCUCAUAUCUUUCCUACAGAAGUAAGCUAUCCCUGCAGCCCCCGGGUCAGGCAUUGAUCUCGCUGCAAUGUAACAAACGGCCGGGUUAAUUUUCCCUCAUUAGCAUUUCCAUAGCCCGGGCUCCACACACAGGAUCCUGCCUAUAGCUUCACAGCUUCUGGCUGGCUCUGUGCGGGUGCGUGUGCGUGCGUGCGUGCGUGUGUGUGUGUCCCCCGCUCCCAUCCCCGCCGUCUCCCAGACACACACACACACAGACACACAUGUGUCAUGUCAACCCUCUAUCUCGCUCCAGGCUGAGCCUGGACACACUACACUUGAUGCCACCUCCUCUUCGCUUCCCGUGUGUGUGUAUCUUUGCCCCACAUAGCACCCCUUCUAUAUUAUUUUAUACCCCCCCCUUUGUAUGGCUCUUUCUGACUUUUAUUUGGUCCCUAGAGAUAUAUAUAUAUAUAUUUAAAUCUUGUUCUCUCUCUAAAUUAAACGGAUUCCCCACACCCCUCCCUAACCCCGUUUACUUCUUAAUCUUUUUUUUUCUUUCCUUGAGUCUUUUCAUUCACUAGGUUGCAAAAGAAGCGGGGGUUGGUCAACACUAAAAUGGCAAAGUUCAUCUUGAAAAAAAAAAAGCCCUCCAGCUACCUACAAAGGGGCUCAGGGCUUUGUAAUGGCAGAAAGAAACAAAAAUGAAAAGAAAAUUGCAGUUGAGGCUAAAGUGUGAGAGUGUGUUUGUGUGUAUGUAUAUCUGUGUGUAUUUUUAAAGGUUUCUUUGAACUGCCUUUGUGCUGAGUAGGCAAUGCUUCUUGCCAAUGCUAGUCACGGUUUAAGGAACUUUGAGUUAACCUCUUAUAUCGAAUGAAUCUUUUCAUUUGGAAACCAAUAAAUCUCAAUCUCUAGCCACCUUUUGUAGAGCAGGCUGAAGCUUACCAAGGCAAGGCUGGAGCUUAUAAUAAAGAAGAGAUAAAGUUUGCCAAAGUUUUUUUUUUCUUCUUCUCUUGUAAAUAAAAGUUUUGGAGAUGGCAGCGUUUGGAAAGGAACUCGGAGAAGGACUUGGAUCUAUGCAUUGUUUCACAGCUCCAGCCCCGCGUCCAGGGCAGACCCCAGCCCCGCUCGCCUUCCUGCGGAGAGGGAAGCAAAGGCGGACGAUGUAUUCCCGCAGCAGGAG